GAUGAACGCUGGCGGCGUGCCUAAUACAUGCAAGUCGAGCGAACGGACGAGAAGCUUGCUUCUCUGAUGUUAGCGGCGGACGGGUGAGUAACACGUGGAUAACCUACCUAUAAGACUGGGAUAACUUCGGGAAACCGUAGCUAAUACCGGAUAAUAUUUUGAACCGCAUGGUUCAAAAGUGAAAGACGGUCUUGCUGUCACUUAUAGAUGGAUCCGCGCUGCAUUAGCUAGUUGGUAAGGUAACGGCUUACCAAGGCAACGAUGCAUAGCCGACCUGAUAGGGUGAUCGGCCACACUGGAACUGAGACACGGUCCAGACUCCUACGGGAGGCAGCGGUAGGGAAUCUUCCGCAAUGGGCGAAAGCCUGACGGAGCAACGCCGCGUGAGUGAUGAAGGUCUUCGGAUCGUAAAACUCUGUUAUUAGGGAAGAACAUAUGUGUAAGUAACUGUGCACAUCUUGACGGUACCUAAUCAGAAAGCCACGGCUAACUACGU
rnacentral:rRNA from 1 species